rnacentral:rRNA from 1 species
GACGAACGCUGGCGGCGUGCUUAACACAUGCAAGUCGAACGGUAAGGCCCUUCGGGGUACACGAGUGGCGAACGGGUGAGUAACGCGUGAGUAACCUGCCCUUCACUCUGGGAUAACAGUUGGAAACGGCUGCUAAUACCGGAUAUUCAGCUCCUGUCGCAUGGUGGGGGUUGGAAAGUUUUGGUGGUGGAGGAUGGGCUCGCGUCCUAUCAGCUUGUUGGUGGGGUGAUGGCCUACCAAGGCGUCGACGGGUAGCCGGCCUGAGAGGGCGACCGGCCACAUUGGGACUGAGAUACGGCCCAAACUCCUACGGGAGGCAGCAGUGGGGAAUAUUGCACAAUGGGCGGAAGCCUGAUGCAGCAACGCCGCGUGCGGGAUGACGGCCUUCGGGUUGUAAACCGCUUCCAGCAGGGACGAAGCGCAAGUGACGGUACCUGCAGAAGAAGCACCGGCUAACUACGUG